GUGGGGAAUAUUACACAAUGGAGGAAACUCUGAUGUAGCAACGCCGCGUGGAGGAUGACACAUUUCGGUGCGUAAACUCCUUUUAUAUGGGAAGAUAAUGACGGUACCAUAUGAAUAAGCACCGGCUAACUCCGUGCCAGCAGCCGCGGUAAUACGGAGGGUGCAAGCGUUACUCGGAAUCACUGGGCGUAAAGCGCGCGCAGGCGGCCCAUUAAGUUGGAUGUGAAAUCCUAUGGCUCAACCAUAGAACUGCAUCCAAAACUGAUGGGCUAGAGUCUGGGAGGGGAAGAUGGAAUUAGUGGUGUAGGUGUAAAAUCCGUAGAGAUCACUACGAAUACCAAAAGCGAAGGCGAUCUUCUGGAACAGUACUGACGCUGAGGCGCGAAAGCGUGGGAAGCAAACAGGAUUAGAAACCCCUGUAGUCC
rnacentral:rRNA from 1 species